rnacentral:lncRNA from 1 species
CCACUCAAGUAGGAUCUAGAUUAUCUUCUCCUCGCAAAUCUUUGCUCCAAAAAUCAAAUCUAGAUCUGAUCUGAAAGAUCUUCAAAAGAUUUUCUGAAGCUGGAGCAGCAGCUUCUCGAUAAAUCUCUGCAGUCUUCUAAUCAGGAAGCCACCACGCCUUGGAUAAGCACCAGAUGGAUGCCCAACCUCUUGGACAUGAAGAGGGGAGGGAGAGGAGCAGAGGGGG